UGGAUGAUCAGACUGGUCUGACCAGGGUUUCCAAAACGGAUUUCACUGCAAAAGUAGCUUCCUCAAUUGGAGUGGUCCUCUACACUACUUUACAAUGCAAUAUAUACAAAUUAUCGCCAUUGAUUAAUGAAGAUUACUAAUUGGUGAACAGAUAGUAAGGGAUUCCAGCAGGUUUGAUUUUUGUCCUUCAUGGCGUGCAUAGAUCGAAUGGGCAGAUAAGACACAUAAGUGAACUAUUAACAGAAAACCAACUAAGCAUACAAUAACGAUAAACAUCUUAGGUACAAUCUGAAAUGUGGCUCGUGCCCAAAAG